rnacentral:rRNA from 1 species
GACGAACGCUGGCGGCGUGCUUAACACAUGCAAGUCGAACGAAGUGGCGAACGGGUGAGUAACGCGUAAUCAACCUGCCCUUCAGAGGGGGACAACAGUUGGAAACGACUGCUAAUACCGCAUACUGAAGGAGGGGAUGGCGUGUGAUUAGCUAGUUGGAGGGGUAACGGCCCACCAAGGCGAUGAGCAGUAGGCUGGCUGGGAGGAUGAACGGCCACAAUGGGACUUGGACAAGGGCCAGACUCCUACGGGAGGCAGCAGUUGGGAAUUUUCCGCAAUGGGAGAAAGUCUGACGGAGCAAAGCCGGGUGAGUGAUGGCGGCCUUCGGGUUGUAAAGCUCUGUUAAGCGGGACGCGGUACCGGAAUAGAAAGCCACGGCUAACUACGUGCCAGCAGCCGCGGUAAUAC